rnacentral:rRNA from 1 species
CGGACGUAAAGAACUUGCCUCACAGCUAGGGACAACAUUUAGAAAUGAAUGCUAAUACCUGAUAUUAUGAUUUUAAGGCAUCUUAGAAUUAUGAAAGCUAUAAGCACUGUGAGAGAGCUUUGCGUCCCAUUAGCUAGUUGGAGAGGUAACAGCUCACCAAGGCGAUGAUGGGUAGCCGGCCUGAGAGGGUGAACGGCCACAAGGGAACUGAGACACGGCCCUU